ensembl:lncRNA
AUAGCCUCAACAUGGGUAGAACUAUAAUUUUUAUAUAAUUGGAUUGUCAAGCCUUGCAUUUAUAACUCCAUAAAUUUGAGUGGUUACAUUUCUACAGCCCAAUCCAUUCAGCUUUUUACUGAAACGCGCCAGGAGUACGCUUUGUUGUUGAGUGGAUUCGAUUAAUGCCCCGGGUGAACCGGGUUAGCGUUGAUUACAUUGGUUUUGGGACCGGGCUGCCUCCCAUGUGUGAGCCAGGUGCCCCGCUUUGCCUGACGGCGAAGUCAUCUCAAAGCAAACGUGUCGUACGUUAAACAUGUGGAGUAAUGAGUAGGAUUCUGUUGUUUCACAUGCAAAAGUGAUUGAUUUUGAUAAGGCUUUAUCUGCCUUCCCAAUGAAUACUAGUUUUUGAAAUUUAGUUGAAAUAGUUUAUCUAUUUUAUGGAAAAGUGAUGUUUUCCUUGAUGACAACAUGACUGUUUGAUUUGAGAAGGGCACCCCUCUCUCUUUUUUUUGUCCCAUUCGUGUCACAGGCCAUAGCCCAGGGAUCUAAAUCAAACUCCCUUAUUGUUUCAACUGCUUAUUAGCCCAAUAUUGGACUAAAUGAGCCUAAAGUUAUUCCUUAGUCCAAGGACCUUACAUGUUCUGUUUAAAGGGAUAAUUGGCUUGAAGCCAAAACAGACAAAUACUCCAUCUAAAUGUGAAUUGAAUCUCUUGCGUUACGGUUCAAGAAACAUAAAUCCCUCCAUAUCACAUCAAAAUAUCAAAUGCUAAAUACACACUUACUCUUCUAACCGGUUUUAAAACAGUUGCAGCUGACAGUAUUUUUUUCCAGUGACAACACAUUUGUUGCGUUUACACACUGGUGUUUGGCGACGCAGAUGGCUAAUUAGCACAGGUAGUCCACUCAUCUUUUUUUCCUUAAACUAGUGUUGUAACAUGGAAAUAUGGCCAUGUGGGAACCCUAAAGGUCAAUCUGUGCUGUCAGAAACAGGCCGAGAGUGAUGGAGAGAGUGUGAACAGACCAUCAGGCACAAUGACUCAACUCCACCCCAGGACAAAGAGAAGAGGAACACUGUGCUUUCACCUUUUUCAAUCAUUUGAAAUGGACUUUUCAUCCUGAUUUUGAAGUAACAGUGUUGUGCAUUUAGUCUUUUUUGGUAAUUGCUCAGCCAAUGGAAUGAUAUGGAGGAAAUAGAAAUGCAUGUAUUGAGACAUUAACAUAAUGUUUAUUCCUUUUUGUUUGAUUUAAUUCUGUUGUCAUUUUAAAGCUUAGAGUGAAAUUCUACUUUUCAGGGUCAGUUAACUUAAUUGUUUCGCACUGGUUUUAACGUUGUUUCAUUUUCCAGAGCGAGGGCUAUGAACCUAAAAUCAUACAGUCUCUGUUUUUCCCUUUGCUCUUGGUUCACUGUAUCAACCAUUAUCGUUUCAGUGUAGCCUGGCUACUACUGGUAGUCUGUUUCUGCUUCUAAACUGUUGGCAUGACAACCAUGUAGUUUGGUUCAAUGCACAACCUUUUUGGUACUCUGCUUGUUUUCUUGGACCUCCUUUGUCCAACUUCUUAAUGAUCAUGGUUGUUUUAAUCAAAUUAAGUGUACAAAAUUGUGUCUGGUGUUUUUCCCUAGCCAUUUGAAAUCUAUUCACAAUCUUGUGAUGAUAAUGGGGGAAAACAUAAUAAAACGAGUAAUGUAACGUUUGUUUUCUGGAAAACAUUCAUGUUUUUGUAAAUCUAGUUUGGUCUGAUUUCUUUAGUGUGAGAAAUCUAAAGAACUAUGUAUAAACACACAGCUAAACAAAGGUAGAUUACAACAUUUAAAAAAAACUCAACUGAUCACAAGACUUCAUUAAAUCUCGUCGACUGAACUGCAGUUGGAACUAGUGGAUUAAUUGCUGUCCACAGUAAGUGGUGUAGCUUGGCGGAGUGACUUUACGAGUAUCUAAACACCAUAGGC